rnacentral:rRNA from 1 species
CCUACGGGGAGCAGCAGUCGAGCAUCAUUCACAAUGGGGGAAACCCUGAUGGUGCGACACCGCGUGGGGGAAUGAAGGUCUUCGGAUUGUAAACCCCUGUCAUGUGGGAGCAAAUUAAAAAGAUAGUACCACAAGAGGAAGAGACGGCUAACGCUGUGCCAGCAACCGCGGUAAUACAGAGGUCUCAAGCGUUGUUCGGAAUCACUGGGCGUAAAGCGUGCGUAGGCUGUUUCGUAAGUCGUGGGUGAAAGGCGCGGGCUCAACCCGCGGACGGCACAUGAUACUGCGAGACUAGAGUAAGGGAGGGGGAACCGGAAUGCUCGGUGUAGCAGUGAAAUGCGUAGAUAUCGAGAGGAACACUCGUGGCGAAGGCGGGUUCCUGGACAUUAACGGACGCUGAGGCACGAAGGCCAGGGGAGCGAAAGGGAUUAGAUACCCUUGUAGUC